AAGCUGGGGAUAACCAGCCGAAAGGCUGGCUAAUACCGAAUGAGGUUCUCUGAUGAUGGUCAGGGUAACUAAAGGCGGGGAUCCUUCGGGACCUGUCGCUUGAGGAGGAGCCCGCGUCCCAUCAGCUUGUUGGUAGGGUAACGGCCUACCAAGGCGACGAUCAGUAGCCGGCCUGAGAGGGUGAUCGGCCACACUGGGACUGAGACACUGCCCAGACUCCUACGGGAGGCUGCAGUCGAGGAUCAUUCGCAAUGCGCGAAAGCGUGACGAUGCGACGCUGCGUGGAGGAUGACGGCUCUAGGGUUGUAAACUCCUGUCAUUCGGGAAAAAUGGUCCCGACCUUAAUACGGUUGGGAACUGAUGGUACCGGAAGAGGAAGCCACGGCUAACUCUGUGCCAGCAGCCGCGGUAAUACAGAGGUGGCGAGCGUUGUUCGGAUUUACUGGGCGUAAAGCGUGCGUAGGUGGCUUCGUGUGUCGAAUGUGAAAGCCCGCCGCUCAACGGCGGAAAUGCAUUCGAAACUGCGGGGCUAGAGUCUAGGAGGGGAGAGCGGAAUUCUUGGUGUAGCGGUGAAAUGCGUUGAUAUCAAGAAGAACACCGGCGGCGAAGGCGGCUCUCUGGAAUAGUACUGACACUGAGGCACGAAAGCUGGGGGAGCAAACAGGAUUAGAUACCCUGGUAGUCCCAGCCGUAAACGGUGUGCACUUGGUGUGGGGGGCGUCAAACCCUCCCGUGCCGGAGCUAACGCGUUAAGUGCACCGCCUGGGGAGUACGGCCGCAAGGCUAAAACUCAAAGAAAUUGACGGGGGCCCGCACAAGCGGAGGAGCAUGUGGCUUAAUUCGAUGCAACGCGAAGAACCUUACCAGGGCUUGACAUGGCGACCCUUCGGGGGUGGGAGUGAAAGUUCCCUUUACGAUCACAGGUGCUGCAUGGCUGUCGUCAGUUCGUGCCGUGAGGUGUUUGGUUAAGUCCAGCAACGAACGCAACCCUUGUGCCUAGUUGCCACUCUUGGUGUUGAGCCAGGAAGCACUCUAGGCAGACUGCCCGUACAAGCGGGAGGAAGGUGGGGACGACGUCAAGUCAGUAUGGCCCUUACGCCCUGGGCUGCACACGUGCUACAAUGGUUGAUACAAUGGGACGCAAUACCGCAAGGUGGAGCCAAUCCUCAAAAUCAGCCUCAGUUCGGAUUGGAGUCUGCAACUCGACUCCAUGAAGUCGGAUUCGCUAGUAACGGCGUAUCAGCUACGACGCCGUGAAUACGUUCCCGGGCCUUGUACACACCGCCCGUCACAUCAUGAAAGCCGUCUGCACCCGAAGUCGCUGAGCCAACCCUAACGGGAGGCAGGUGCCGAAGGUGUGGGUGGUG
rnacentral:rRNA from 1 species